rnacentral:sRNA from 1 species
UCAUUGCACACACAUGAAUGUUGCAGUAAACCCGGGCCCCUCGGGGCUCGGGAUGUCGGCUUGCGAAGUACCACAAUGUCCCUCUUUACAUAAUAGUCCCGGCCUGUGCGGACGCCUCCUUUCAUUCGGGGGGUUCCUUCCUUCUUCGGGGGGAGGGGAUCCGCGCGAGCUCGAACGAAGCGAGGGGCCCGCACAGCACCCGGGCGUGUUGCCACGCUAUGCCCGAACGCUUUGACCCACGACUGAGUCCCUUAGACGCUUUUUUGAGGAGUUGGAUUAUUUUUGGCGACGCGAGUCCCUUCCCUUACUUCGAAGGAAGGAAGGACUCGCGUCGGUGGAGACCCACCCCGAUGGAGUUAGUUGAAUCUAUAACUUAGAAACAACUCUCAGCAACGGAUAUCUUGGCUCUUGCAACGAUGAAGAACGCAGCGAAAUGCGAUACGUAGUGUGAAUUGCAGAAUUCCGCGAAUCAUCGAGUCUUUGAACGCAAGUUGCGCCCGAGGCUUGUCCGAGGGCAUUUCCGCUAGAGCGUCACCGCGCUCCCCCACCGACCCGCCAAGGUCGAGUGGAAUUGGCCGUCCCGAUGCCCCCCCUAAAGGGGACCGGGUCGGCUGAAAUGGAUGGAAUUUGGCCGUCGCGGCGACGGAGCCCGCGAUCAGGUGAUCCGAGCGCAAGCCCGGAACUCAAACGUGCGCGGCUUCGUCGCCCAGUUGGAUCGAGUUGGAAUAAUAAUAAUGAGAAGCAGGUCCGCGCGACCCCGAACCCUGAAAGGGGCGCGCGAAUGGGUCACGCAUCAGA